rnacentral:rRNA from 1 species
UACGUAGGGCGCAAGCGUUGUCCGGAAUUAUUGGGCGUAAAGAGCUCGUAGGCGGUUUGUCGCGUCUGCUGUGAAAACCUAAGGCUCAACCUUCAGAGGUCGACCGAAACCAUCUGGCUAGAGUCCGGGAGAGGAGAGUGGAAUUCCUGGUGUAGCGGUGAAAUGCGCAGAUAUCAGGAAGAACACCCGUGGCGAAAGCGGCUCUCUGGAACGGUACUGACGCUGAGACGCGAAAGCGUGGGGAGCGAACAGG